ensembl:processed_transcript
AAGGAUGGGUGUACACUCUCUUUUCAGAAUAUGGUUCAUCUCAAAGCCCUUUACCCUUUGGAGCCAGGCCUGUUCGAUUUUACAAAUAGCACGUUUUGCUUGUAGUCAGGGUGCUGUGACAACAUGAAAAGUUCAAGCUACCUCCCAGGAUGAGUGCAGGUUUUCCUGGUGACAAAUCUCAGGCAUUCAAAGGUUAGUUAGGUUAUUUUGGAUGGGGUUUGUUCACUAGGUUUGCUGUUUCUAUGAUGAAUCAAACUAGCUCACUAUGACUGCUAAUGAAAACACAGGAACACCUGAGAAACCAAAGGGUAGUGUGGGGGCAAGGGCGCUUAUAUCCAGCCUUUUCAAGGUUUGUUAUUUUUCUCCAGGUUCUGUUAGCAGUGCCAUACUUGGGUUUACAGGUGAGUAAUUCCAGUGUGGUGUAUAUGCAUAGCAUUGGACUGGGGGGGGUACCUAACUGAGAACGUACUUUGUA